rnacentral:rRNA from 1 species
UACGUAGGGACCAAGCGUUGUUCGGAUUUACUGGGCGUAAAGGGCGCGUAGGCGGCACUUCAAGUCCGUUGUGAAAUCUCCGAGCUUAACUCGGAACGGUCAACUGAUACUGCUUUGCUAGAGUACAGAAGGGGCAAUCGGAAUUCUUGGUGUAGCGGUGAAAUGCGUAGAUAUCAAGAGGAACACCUGAGGCGAAGACGGGUUGCUGGGCUGAUACUGACGCUGAGGCUCGAAAGCUAGGGGAGCAAACGGG